GUGAGAAGCACAACGUCCCCCUCUACCGCAAACCCUCCAUCUGGCACGCUCUCAAGGCCUUCCUUGGGUACAUAAACCUGAUGAAUGAAAGGAGGGACCCCUAGGUGACCGCA
rnacentral:ribozyme from 1 species